rnacentral:rRNA from 1 species
GAUGAACGCUAGCGAUAGGCUUAACACAUGCGAGUCGAGGGGUAACGUGUUGGAAGCUUGCUUCCGAUGACGACGACCGGCGGAUGGGUGCGUAACGCGUAUGCAACUUGCCUCACAGUGGAGAAUAACCCGGAGAAAUCCGGACUAAUACUCCAUACACUCUUAAGUACGCCUGUACAUGAGAGGAAAGAUUUAUCGCUGUGAGAUAGGCAUGCGUCCUAUUAGGUAGUUGGUGAGGUAACGGCUCACCAAGCCGACGAUAGGUAGGGGUGCUGAGAGGCAGAUCCCCCACAUUGGGACUGAGACACGGCGCAAACUACUACCGGAGGCAGCAGUGAGGAAUAUUGGUAAAUGGAGGAAACGCUGAACCAGCCAAGUCGCGUGAAGGAAGAAUGUCCUAAGGAUUGUAAACUUCUUUAGCGAGCGAGUAAGGACUUCCACGUGAUGGGAGUUUGAAAGUAGCUCGAGAAUAAGUAUCGGCUAACUCCGUG